AGACAAUGAUGAUUCUUAAGAAGUCAAUAAACCAGACAUUGUGGUAACACUCUUCUUUCAUGGCGGGGCUAUAAGGAAAAAAGAGAACUCCUUUUUUUCUUUGUAAGCAGCCAUGGCUGAAGAGUUAAUCCUCUAAUUUGUCUGAGAAAAGGCGAAUCUGAGUCC
rnacentral:snoRNA from 1 species